AUAACAGUAACCAUCAAAUCCUUGACAUCAGGAAAAGCAGCAGGCAUAGAUAGGAUUAAGGUCGUAAAAAUUUACAACAGUUCAGGAUCUCAGAUUUCAGCGCUGGGCAUGAUGCCGAGAAGCAUCUUUACAUAUACAUGGACAAGGACGAACUCAGGUAAAACCAUCAUCUGGAAGCCAACACAGCUGAAGGAAGAAUGUACGCAAUGCCAGAUGAUGAUACAGUGAAAUAGUUCAUGAAGUACAAAAGGCAUUUAAAUCCAAAGUGUGAUAGAUUUUUCAAAGGCCACAAAGAACAUUUAAUGUAAAUUCACAUAUUUGGUACUAUAACAUACCUCUGGGACACAAUACUCUAGGAAACAUGAUGUCAAGGAUACCUGAAAAAGCAGGCUUAUCGCAUAGGUACACUAAUCAUUCAACACUGGUACACACCCUGGACUCAACAGGUUUGUUUGCAGGUCGACACAUUAUGUGCAUCACGGGGCACCGAGCAGAGUCCAGUCUUAAAACCUACUCUGUUCAGAUUAAACGAGAUUAAACGCAGGAUGUCGGAUAAAAUAUCAAAAACUCUACGUGCUGAAACUUGUGUGAAAGAGGUAAAGGAAGGAGACCAAUAACCCGAAAAUUUCAGCACUAAUUUUGAUGUGUCAGAAGUGGAACUGAAGGUGUCAUCAAAUUCUUAGUAUGACCAUGUUUUGACUGAUUUGUUGGACGAUGACUUUAAUAGUGUUUUGAGUAGUUUGAUUUACUCAUGGAAUCAUAUAAUAAAACAAGUGAAAAGCUGUCAAUGUGACAGCAAACCGGGUUUUCUUUUAUGUGAACUGUAUCCAUAAUCCAUGUCAACCCGAAUCCAGUGAAAUGGAGUCACCUAUAUGCAAUAUUUUGACAAAAAAUGUUCAAAAGCCGGUACUUUUUUCAUAAAUAAUCAGAAAUCAAUAUCCUAGCAAUAUGCACACCUCUGAUAUAUGUACAAUAAAUCUGCAAAAGAACAACUUCCUAUCUUGAAAACUGUAGGAGGAGUUAUCCGUACAAUGUGGGUACCCUAUAUGCAAUAUCUUGCCAAAAAAAUGACUAUUUAAAGUUCAAAAGCUGGUAUUUUUUUCAUAAAUUAUCGGCAAUCAAAAUCCUAGCAAUAUGCACACCUCUGAUAUAUACAUGUACAAUUGAUCUGCAAAAGAACA